GACGAACGCUGGCGGCGUGCUUAACACAUGCAAGUCGAACGGAAAGGCCCUACUUUUGUGGGGUGCUCGAGUGGCGAACGGGUGAGUAACACGUGAGUAACCUGCCCUUCACUUUGGGAUAACUUCACGAAACUGGGGCUAAUACCGGAUAGGAGCUUCUGCUCCAUGGUGUGCGUUGGAAAGUUUCGGCGGUUGGGGAUGGACUAGCGGCUUAACAGCUUGUUGGUGGGGUAGUGGCUUACCCAGCCUUAGACGGGUAGCCGGCCUGAGAGGGUGACCGGCGACAUUGGGACUGAGAUACGGCGCAGACUGCUACGGGAGGCAGCAGGGGGGAAUAUUGCACAAUGGGCGGAAGCCUGAGGCAGAAGCGCCGCGUGCGUGAUGACGGCCUGCGGGGUGUAAACCGCUUUCGGCUGUGACGAAGCGUGAGUGACGGUAACGGAUGAAGAAGCACCGGCUAACUACGUG
rnacentral:rRNA from 1 species